GACAGAGGUGCCGAGCGUUAGGCGGAAUCACUGGGCUUAAAGCGUGUGUAGGCGGACCGUUAAGUACCUUGUGAAAUCCCCCGGCUCAACCGGGGAACGGCUGGGUAUACUGGCGGUCUUGAGCCACCUAGGGGCGAGCGGAACAAGCGGUGGAGCGGUGAAAUGCGUAGAUAUCGCUUGGAACGCCGACGGUGAAAACAGCUCGCUGGGGUGUGCUGACGCUGAGACACGAAAGCCAGGGAGCGAACGGG
rnacentral:rRNA from 1 species